UCUAAUAUGGCAGAAUAGUGCAGUGAACUUAAGAUUCAAAUAUAAAGACUUCUUUUAUUAGAA
rnacentral:tRNA from 1 species